rnacentral:rRNA from 1 species
AAUGAACGCUGGCGGCGCGCCUAAUACAUGCAAGUCGAGCGAGAAGACGUAGCAAUACGUUUGUAAAGCGGCGAACGGGUGAGGAAUACAUGGGUAACCUACCCUAGAGUGGGAAUAACUAGCCGAAAGGUUAGCUAAUACCGCGUACGCUCCUUGGACUUCGGUUCAGGGAGGAAAGCGAUGCCGAGGGUAUCGCGCUCUUGGAUGGGCUCAUGUCCUAUCAGCUUGGGUGAGGUAACGGCUCACCAAGGCUUCGACGGGUAGCUGGUCUGAGAGGACGAUCAGCCACACUGGCACUGCGACACGGGCCAGACUCCUACGGGAGGCAGCAGUAAGGAAUAUUGCGCAAUGGGCGAAAGCCUGACGCAGCGACGCCGCGUGGGGGAUG